UACGAAGGGGGCUAGCGUUGCUCGGAAUCACUGGGCGUAAAGCGCGCGUAGGUGGCCUCAUAAGUCCGCUGUGAAAGUCAAAGGCUCAACCUUUGAAAGCCGGUGGAUACUGUGAGGCUAGAGUACGGAAGAGGCGAGUGGAAUUCCUGGUGUAGCGGUGAAAUGCGCAGAUAUCAGGAGGAACACCAAUGGCGAAGGCAGCUCGCUGGAACGGUACUGACGCUGAGGCGCGAAAGCGUGGGGAGCGAACAGG
rnacentral:rRNA from 1 species